rnacentral:rRNA from 1 species
UAAGUAGUGAGGUUCUCUGGGUCCACCUCCCACCCGUGUUUAUUUACCUUGUUGCUUCGGCGAGCCUGCCUUUUGGCUGCCGGGGGACGUCAGUCCCCGGGUCCGUGCUCGCCGGAGACACCUUAGAACUCUGUCUGAAGAUUGUAGUCUGAGAUUAAAUAUAAAUUAUUUAAAACUUUCAACAACGGAUCUCUUGGUUCCGGCAUCGAUGAAGAACGCAGCGAAAUGCGAUACGUAAUGUGAAUUGCAGAAUUCAGUGAAUCAUCGAGUCUUUGAACGCACAUUGCGCCCUCUGGUAUUCCGGAGGGCAUGCCUGUCCGAGCGUCAUUGCUGCCCUCAAGCACGGCUUGUGUGUUGGGCCCCGUCCUCCUUCCGGGGGACGGGUCCGAAAGGCAGCGGCGGCACCGCGUCCGGUCCUCAAGCGUAUGGGGCUUUGUCACUCGCUUUGUAGGCCUGGCCGGCGCUUGCCGAUCAACCAAACUUUUUAUCAGGUUGACCUCGGAUCAGGUAGGGAUACCCGCUGAACUUAAGCAUAUCAAAAGGCGGAGGAAUCC